GGCUCUGUGUUGCAAUGGAUAGCGCAUUGGACUUCUAGGCUGUGAGCUGAACCAUUCAAAGGUUGUGGGUUUGAGUCCCACCAGAGUCG
rfam:Danio rerio chromosome 4, GRCz11 reference primary assembly.